AUUGAACGCUGGCGGCAGGCCUAACACAUGCAAGUCGAACGAGUGGAGGACGGGUGAGUAAUGUCUGGGAAACUGCCUGAUGGCGGGGGAUAACUACUGGAAACGGUAGCUAAUACCGCAUACCAUCAGAUGUGCCCCGAUGGGAUUAACUAGCAGUGGGGGUAACGGCUCACCAGGGCGACGAGCCCUAGAUGGACUGCGAGGAUGACCAGCACCACUGGAACUGAGACACGGUCCAGACUCCUACGGGCGGCAGCAGUGGGGAAUAUUGCGUAGUGGGCUCAAGCCUGAUGCAGCCAUGGCGCGUGAAUGCAGAAGGCCUGCGGGUUGUAAAGUACUUUCAGCGGGGAGGCGUUACCCACAGAAGAAGCACCGGCUAAUUCCGUGCCAGCAGCCGCGGUAAUAC
rnacentral:rRNA from 1 species